GUCACGAGUUUGAUCCUGGCUCAGAACGAACGCUGGCGGCGCGCCUAACACAUGCAAGUCGAACGAGAAUCCGGGGCAACCCGGUAGUAAAGUGGCAAACGGGUGAGGAAUACAUGGGUAACCUACCCUUGAGAAGGGAAUAACCCGCCGAAAGGUGAGCUAAUACCCUAUACGCUAUCUUUUUUUCGAAAAGGAUAGGAAAGCCGGGUCGAGGACCUGGUACUCAAGGAGGGGCUCAUGUCCUAUCAGCUUGUUGGUGGGGUAACGGCCUACCAAGGCUACGACGGGUAGCUGGUCUGAGAGGAUGAUCAGCCACACUGGCACUGAGAUACGGGCCAGACUCCUACGGGAGGCAGCAGUGAGGAAUAUUGCGCAAUGGGCGAAAGCCUGACGCAGCGACGCCGCGUGGGGGAUGAAGGUUUUCGGAUUGUAAACCCCUUUCAUGAGGAAAGAUAAAGUGGGUAACCACUUAGACGGUACCUCAAGAAGAAGCCACGGCUAACUUCGUG
rnacentral:rRNA from 1 species